rnacentral:rRNA from 1 species
ACUCAAAGGAAUAGACGGGGGCUCACACAAGCGGUGGAGCAUGUGGCUUAAUUCGAGGCUACGCGAAGAACCUUAUCCUGGACUUGACAUGUGCGAAAGCGCUGGGAAGUAGCGGCCGGAAACGGCCCGCCAACGGUAUCCAAUCCGGAACCCAGUACAGGUGCUGCAUGGCUGUCGUCAGCUCGUGUCGUGAGAUGUUGGGUUAAGUCCCGUAACGAGCGAAACCCUUGUCUCCAGUUACCAGCGGGUCAUGCCGGGGACUCUGGAGAGACUGCCGGUGUCAAACCGGAGGAAGGCGGGGAUGACGUCAAGUCCUCAUGGCCUUUAUGUCCAGGGCUGCACACGUGCUACAAUGGCGUGCACAGAGGGAAGCAAACGCGCGAGCGGGAGCCAAUCCCAAAAAACACGCCCCAGUUCAGAUCGAAGGCUGCAACUCGCCUUCGUGAAGCCGGAAUCGCUAGUAAUCGCGGGUCAGCAACACCGCGGUGAAUGUGUUCCUGGGCCUUGUACACACCGCCCGU